rnacentral:rRNA from 1 species
GCCAUCUUCCAGGAAAAACCUUUAAGCUUCAGAUUUUUUGAAUUGGGUCCCCAAACCCGACACAGGUGUUCCGGUUGGGAAUUUUAGGGCGCUGGGAGAAAUUCGGGUGAGGAAUUUGGCAAAAUCGUUCCGUAACUUCGGGAGAAGGUACGCUCCUAUCCGUGAGAGAACUUGCUCUCAAGCGACGGGGAGCCGCAGUGACCAGUGGGCUGGGACUGUUUAUUAAAAACACAGCACUGUGCAAAAUCGCAAGAUGACGUAUACGGUGUGACACCUGCCCGGUGCCCGAAGGUUAAUUGAUGGGGUUAUCCUAGGGAGAAGCUCUUGAUCGAAGCCCCGGUAAACGGCGGCCGUAACUAUAACGGUCCUAAGGUAGCGAAAUUCCUUGUCGGGUAAGUUCCGACCUGCACGAAUGGUGUAACCAUGGCCACGCUGUCUCCACCCGAGACUCAGUGAAAUUGAAAUCGCAGUGAAGAUGCUGUGUACCCGCGGCUAGACGGAAAGACCCCGUGAACCUUUACUACAGCUUGGCACUGAACAUUGAACCUACAUGUGUAGGAUAGGUGGGAGACUUUGAAGAUGAGACGCUAGUUUUGUUGGAGUCAACCUUGAAAUACCACCCUUGUAGUUUUGAUGUUCUAACGUUGGCCCCUGAAUCGGGGUUACGGACAGUGCCUGGUGGGUAGUUUGACUGGGGCGGUCUCCUCCUAAAGAGUAACGGAGGAGCACGAAGGUUGGCUAAGUACGGUCGGACAUCGUACGGUUAGUGUAAUGGUAGAAGCCAGCUUAACUGCGAGACAGACACGUCGAGCAGGUACGAAAGUAGGUCAUAGUGAUCCGGUGGUUCUGAAUGGAAGGGCCAUCGCUCAACGGAUAAAAGGUACUCCGGGGAUAACAGGCUGAUACCGCCCAAGAGUUCAUAUCGACGGCGGUGUUUGGCACCUCGAUGUCGGCUCAUCACAUCCUGGGGCUGAAGUCGGUCCCAAGGGUAUGGCUGUUCGCCAUUUAAAGUGGUACGCGAGCUGGGUUUAGAACGUCGUGAGACAGUUCGGUCCCUAUCUGCCGUGGGCGUUUGAGAAUUGAGAGGGGUUGCUCCUAGUACGAGAGGACCGGAGUGAACGAACCGCUGGUUUCGGGUGUCAUCCAAGGCAUGCCCGAGCUCACCAU